CUAAGUGCAUUAGGCUAUGUCCCAAUUCUAUUUUCGCAAAGAAAGAUAAGGCCUCUGGAAAGUGGGUGUCUGAUGUGGUGACCCAUCUGCUACCCACUGAGGACAACCUAAAAAUUGUGGCCACCAUGAGAAAGGCCUACAAUUUUGUAUUGAUCAAAGAAGGGAACUCCACGACGACAUUGCCCGAUCCACACCCUCAGGCCCAGCCCGAUCCACACCCUCAGGCCCUGCCCGAUCCACACCCUCAGGCCCAGCCCGAUCCACACCCUCAGGCCCUGCCCGAUCCACACCCUCAGGCCCUGCCCGAUCCACACCCUCAGGCCCAGGAAAAGGAGACAUUUUAUAUUUUAUAUUUACACCCUGUCUCUCUCCCUGUGAAGGAACAACCCCCCCCCCCAAAAAAGAAAGUGUAAGUUAACUGUGGUCUUAGCACACUAUGUAUGAAUUUCUCCUUUUUGUAAUCAUUAUUCAUGAAAUACAGAAAUCUUUAGGUGAAUUUAAGUGCAGUCAAUUAGCGUAGUUAAUGUGAGUAAUUUUCAGUGGCCAGUCUGAUACACAAAGGAGUUUGUCCUCGCACGCAUACCUUUCAGUACUGAACACGCACACUCUAGGAGUAAAGCAAUGAGCAAUACACACUUGAGGAGAGAUGAAUACACACACACUCACGCACACAUCAGUGGGCAGCCCAGGUAGCUUAUCCCCCCCUAUCACUGUUCACAAUCUGCUUCAAUAACCUUUAGGCCAGGCAGUAGGAUAAUUAGGCUAAAUUUCGGCUAUGAAAUCACUGAAUCUAAUGGCUAAAGAGCAGUUCAUUCCAGGAACUAUAACGAUAAAAGCGUCCAGACAGACUGACCAGCUAUAAGCAAAGUCUCACCUUGUGUUAAUAAAUGUGAUGGCUAAGAUGUGAUGGGUUCCUAUUGGUUGUUAGCUCUUCUUUUUAUUGUUCUCAAAAUCGCUUUAAAAGCGAUCCCCAACAAUAUUGUUCUCAAUCUCGUUAUAGUUUAUCAUAUUAACGAGAACAAUAUUUUUUUAUAUAGUUAUAGUUUUUGGUGUGAAUGGCCCUUUAUAUAUGUAUUCUUCAGACGUUUUCAAAGUUCAAGGACAAUGCUUAAAGUUGUUCCCCAGGUUUUAUGAAACUUUAAGUUUAACUUUAAGUUUAAUUUCCAGGUUUUUUUUACAUUUAUGGUUAAUUAAUAUUAUUAUUAUUAUUAUUAUUGUCAUUUUAAGGUUGCCGGAAAUGUAGUAGGCAAAAAGUUUUCAAAUAUGACUCCAUAACAGGACGAAGGAUAAAUGAGGGGCAAGAGGAAGUAAGGGUGAAAUGGUUACCUUGCUCUGCAUGUGGAAAAAUCUGGGAGGAGACAUGGGAGCCGGCCUGCCAGUUCUCACCAGGUGCCAACCAUGUGUAAUGUCACACAUUGGUCUGUAAUUCAAUGAGUUAAAUACCUGCUAUGAGAUGUCAAGUUUGCCGUUACGGGCCCAGCCAUCCUGCUUGCGGAUGUGACUACUUUAGAUGAGGAGGAGCCGCGUUACACACUUUCAAUGGUUUCCACCCUAACAUGCUGUCAUGCUGUUUUUUCAUUUAUUUUUUAAUUAUUGAUUUUUGUUAAAAGCUGUGUUCAAAUAAAUCGAUGUAUACCUUUAUUUCUGUUUGUCUUUCCAUUCACCUUGUGGUUUAGCCAAUCAUCUGAAGUCUUCAAUGCAUCAAAUGAUAUAUUGUAAUGUGAUGCACAAAGUAUGUAGGAAGGUGGGACAUGUUUUCAUUCAUAUUAAUUGACAUCAUUAAGGAACCGUUGAUUCCACCAGCUAAACCAUACAUUUUCUGUAGAAAGGGUAGCUGAGGUAGGCAGGGGUGGAUAAAUGAACAGGCUUACCAGGACCAGAGGUCAAGAGGGUCCAGAAGCCUCUAAAAAUUUGAAAGCAUGCUUUCUAAUUCAGGAAGUUUUCUAAAGGCAAGGCACAUGAAACCCUGGCUGCUGCACUGUGGCCUUCCAUUGACCUUGAUGCACUAAAUGUGUGUGUUCAAGUCUACCCCGGAUGGGUAAAAGCAGAAGACUAUAUUUUUUUACUUUUGUUAUUUCAGUCUAUAUGGGCCAAUCUGGGUUUCUUGUUUAUAUUUUUAAAACUGUCAAUAUUCAUUUAGAUGUUAUGGUAUUUAUUUAUUUUAAUAUUUCGGUCUUAUUUACGGUGAAAUAAUACAGUAUGCUGUAAUACAGAACAUAUGAUCCGAGCUAGACGCAAAGACUCCACAAUGCAAUGCGGGCGUUCAUUCACAGAAUCGGUUGUCAUUGGUUGUCACCAGCAACAACAAGUUGCUCAGCUUUGUACCAGCCGCAAUACCAGAGAAAGGACUUUGGUAAUACCGAUUACCGACCGAAGAC